UAGAAGUCAGGUCGGAUUAAGCCAUAGUACGGAAAAAACUAUGCUACCUGUGAGCCCCGUCCAAGGACGUUAAAAGAAGUCAGGCCAUCAUAAAUGCCAUAGCUUGAGUAAACUAUGCUGCCUGUAGCUCCACCUGAGAAGGUGUAAARAAUCUGGGAGGCCACAAACCAUGGAAGCUGUACGCAUGG
rnacentral:lncRNA from 1 species